rnacentral:lncRNA from 1 species
CACUCAUGCUGUGUGCUCACACACACAUACACACACACAUACACACACACUCUCUCUCUCUCUCACCUUCACAGCUGUCCUUCCCAGCUUUGGUGGGAGUUGGCUCUGACUAGAUCUGUCAGGCCUCUGUGAAGUCUUCCUGACUGAGUCUCUCUCUAUGAGCAGAGUGGGGCCAAGAAGCCACCCCAACUCCUACCCCCGGGCAGCCUGGUCGCCCUGGCCCUGCCCACACAGCCUGCCCUGAGGCAUGCUGAGAUCCCAGUCUGCAUCAGGGCUGCCCAUCUGCCUUGGUGCUCAUCACCUUGACAUGAACAGGCCCGAAGUUCUUUUCCAGGAUGGCAGAGCCUUCAGAACCAUCAACUCCUACCCCUCCAUCGUG